rnacentral:lncRNA from 1 species
GGUAAAGAAAGCUCCAGACCUGGGCAACAUUCCUACCCCAACAGUCAAACCUAGAGUAAAGGAAUAUUGGAAGUUGAACCCAUGAUGUCUUAGAGGUUUACAAAUGGAUUGUACUCAGUCACAUCUGAGCACCAUGGCAGACCACCCACCUGCAGGAUCAGUACACCUGCCUUAAAAAACCAACUGCAAUGAAAUACUUUUGAAUGGAGAAGCAUCUGGAAAUUGAGGAUAUCAGAGAAACUGCUUGCUGGUGCAGAGAGGAGACCAAUUACGCCUGAGGAAACAGAACCUGCAAAUAACCAAAUGACUGCUCUGUGGGAACCCCAGGCUAACCACAAUUUUCAUGAGCUAACCUGACCACAAGAUGACGCCCAUGUUAUCUGCUGGAGAUAGCCUGAUCAAAAACACUACUGUUGUGGAGAUGAUUCUUAUCUCCUAUAAUACCUGUACCUUUCCUCUGUCCAACCAUUAAAGGAAGCAGUUGCCUAAAGAUGUAUUAUGUGCAGGUCCAGAUGCUAAAGAAUGCACUGAUGAGUUGGAGGUGGGAUUCAAUACUCAAGAAUUCUUGGUGUUCUGAGGGACACUUCCCUGCCCCCUGAUUACUUGUGUGCAUUGCGCAUCUUCGGCCCCCAACAUGAUACCCAUGUGGAAAAGGAUGACAUCGAGCAAAGAGCAUAUGUGGAAGCUUGUUCUCCCCACAACGCACCCUCAGCUGCUUUUGACUCCAAAGUUUAAAGAGAGAAGACUUGCUUCCAAUGGCUGGCGCCACCCUCAGCAUCCACAUCCCAGAUUCAUAGAGAGGUGCACAGGAAGGAGGAAAGCAGGUGGCUUUCUAGGGGAACAAGGGUCAAGAAUGGGAAUCUAACCACCCAACCUAAGAUUCUCAUCUAUAAAGAGGCCACCCCACCUUAACAGCUGAGGUCACCAUCUUGAACUCAUAAAGGUUCAGAAGAGAACACAAGCCCUGUGUUCAGGUCAAGAGCUUUGGAAUCAGUCACACUUGAAUAAAAAUUCAAAUACUUUUACUAGUUAUUAGACCUCGUGUGAUUGUCUUACUUCCCCAGAUACAAG